AGCGAAGUGGUGUAAAGGUAACAUAUCAGUCUCAUGAACUGAUGUAAAAGGUUCAAUUCCUUUCUUCGCAU